AUAAAGACAACACCAAGAAAGACAAAUGUUGGGACGCUGUUGCUUAAUGUUGGAGCAACAAGUAAGUAUAUGCUUUUAAUCUACUGGAUCAACGGGUGAUAUUAUUAGCGCUGCCUGGUGGUUCAGCGUCGCUUCAGUGUCCGGUGUGAACAGCCAAGCGCCGGCGCGAUAGGGAUUAGCGCGGUGCUUUGGCGUCGCCUCCACGUUCUCUGUUCCUCUUUCAAAAUGAAUGUGCUGUCGAUGUCUUCUAAAACAGACUCAAUGGCAGCAUCUACACAUCUCAGGUCUCCAGCGGCAGGCAUGUUUGUUGAAAACGAUUUAAACCCAAGGGCACUUGAUGUGGUUGAUUACGUUACCGUUGAUCAUCUGUACAUCAUCGUAUAAAGCCCGCCCUGACAAUCUGAUUGGCCCGCUCGGGCAUAAUUUCUCCUCAACGGAGCGACUCCAGACCGAACUUCCCGACCUCAAAUGUUGUGGGCGGGGCUAAGUUCGUCUGGCAUCCAGGCUACGACUUUUCGAUAACUUUAAACCAAAUUUCCAUGAAUGAAAAUUUUGUGAAAUCUCUGGGUAUAUGCGAAAAGUUACAAAAUGUAGUAUUUAAACUAACAAUGAGAAUUCCAAGGCAUACAGUAUACCUUAAAUGACACAAACCCAAGUAUGCCUGCUUAUAUUUUGAGCAUAUUUCUUUAAAAGCAUGUGAAUUUAAAACGACAUGAAAAUAUACCAAAUUUCCAUGACUUUUCCAGGCCUGGAAAACACAUUUUAAAAUGUCAUGACUUGUCCAGGUUUUCCAUCACCGUAGGGACCCUGAUAAGACAAAUAUGGGCUACACAAAUAAAAUUUCAUUGAAUGAUUGAUUUUCUGUGCUGGGUAAUGUGUCAUUGAUGCUCUGUCUUUCCCUUUUGCAAAAUUCAUGUGAUUGUUUAUGCAUUAAAAUUCAAGGUAGCUCACACCACAAUGGUCAGCUUGCAGAGACUGUAAAUACUCUUUGAAGCUGUCUUUACUGCUUUCUUAUACGUUAUAAAAGUUUUAAAAUUAAAACAAGCUCACUUAAAUAUGCAUAUCACAUGACAAGUUAUAUGAGGAACAUGUAUGCCCACAGGAAUUGUUGCAAAUUGCUCAAACAAAUAGCUCGUCCUCUGCUCAUGGAGGCAGGUGUAGUAAACAAAACAUUUUAUACACAAAAAAAUAACUGUUUAACCAGAGCACCUAGAAUAAUGUAUGAGGACACUUUUUGUGGUACAUUGAUUCUGACAUCAUUUUGACAUUAAGACAUCCUGUUGACCCCAAAAUCCAAGAUGGCCACCAUCCGGGAGAGCAAACAUUUUACACAAAUCAGCCCCCAGUCUCCAGGAGAUGGGUGAUGUAUGGCCUUUAUUUAUUACUUAUUAUGGAAGGACAAAAACAAAGAAUAUCAGAAAUAAGUUUUAUUAAAUAACUAACAUAACAAAGGAACAAAAUACCCUUGAAACAUGCCAAUAAGAUAUCAUUGUACCCAAUAACUUUACCUUUUGGUCAUUAAAAAAAGUAAAAAUCAUAAAUAACAGGAUGCUUUCAUGUUGUUAAAUGCUACACGUUAUUCUAACAAUGUAAGUGGUGAAUAAUAAGGACAUUGAUAUAUAAGAUUAGUCCGAAUCAGAGCAUUCUGCCUCACUAGAAUCUAAAUCACCACUAUCCGAUGAAUCCCAUUGCCUACUAUGCACAUCCUCAUUUUUUCUUUUCAUCGCCAUCAUACUCGCUCACAUCUUCAACUGGCCUUGAUGCAGGUAGAUGAGUUGGAAGAGCAGGUCGUGUGUAGCGGACAGGGCGACAAUGACCAUCCAGCAACUCCCAUCCAUGUCCGAUUGGCAAGGGGUGGUUCUUCAGGGAGGGAUGGCGUACUAGAUAUGCCAAGUAGUUGGCACGGAGGCAGUGUUGGCGUAAGCUAUCUUCAUCUGGGGGUAGACGGAUGAAUGAUUUAUUUUUCAUAUUCUUCCACUUCACUGCACGGGCCUCAGCCAUGGUGGUACUCUUGUGGUCACCAUAGAUGACAUGUCUGGUGAACUUGAAUAGCUCCUGUAGCACCUCUUCCUCAAGGUCAAGGCUAUCUCCGCACUGUGAGAGCUGUUGUCGUGCCACAGGGCUCUUCGCCACAGAGUCAUACACUGACUUCUUACCCUUGCCAUAGAAUCCAGAGUUAGCAUCACAUCCUGUCAUACAGUGCAGCUGCACAAUGCAGUCUGCCAUCUCGUCAGUUACCAGAUCACUGCAGACUAUUGCUCCUGCUUUCUCUUGAUGCAGAGCAUACCUGGCAGUUGCUUUGAGAUAAACGCUGCUGCGACAUAGGCAUCAGUAUCAGCAGAAUCAAUGACAACAGGUCCACUAUAGCCUGACUCUCGCAGCACUGCGUAAGUGGAGAAGAGGAUAGUGUCUGCCUCAGACUGGUCAAAGCAGUAGUUCUGCAUCGGUUGCUGGGUUGACAAGUUAGUACAGUGGGAGCCAACAGAGUAAACAAUCUCUGCAUCAACACUUUGUGCAAUGUCGGUCAGGUAGCUGCCUAUCAAUUUUUGUAGUCGCUUCUUGUUACUAACACUACAAAGCAGCGUGUUAAAGGGGACAUAUUAUGAAAAUUCCACUUUUGUAGUGCUUCUACACAUUAGUUUGGGAAUCGGGCAUGUGCUAAAGUGCGUCCAAUGGAAUUUCGACCGAAAUAGACGUCAUAGUCGAAAAAUGCCCAUUUAGUACAUUCCCCCAUAGCUCUAUGCACUCCCCCACUACCACUCGACCCACCCCUAGAUGGACCCUCCCACUUUAUAGAAGCUCGGUCCACCGAUGUCCGCCAUUUAAUUCUUGCAAGCCUUGGAAACACUUGGAUAAGCUAACAGCAGCAUGAAUCGGUGGUCGGCUGCAAACAUGUCUUCAUGUGACUCCAGCUUCAGAAGACACAAGAUUGAGAUGGAUUGAGUUCAUAUAUGAUGGCAACGUUCCUGCCACCACUUUGAAUCUGACUGUUUUAUCAACCUGGGCCAAUAUAACAACGGAUUCUCAAAGAGAAGAGGUUGUUAUUGAAAGAGGGGUCGGUGCCAUCUUUCCAUCGCAAUACUGAAGACGAGGGAAAUGUAAGUAUUUUUUUUAAAUAAUUCUGGUAUUUGCUUCUUUUAGACAUUUUGUGUGGAGGCUAGUGCCGUUAGCAUGUUGUGCCGUGUGUGAGGGGGUGGGGGGCUAGUAUGUAGUGGUGGGGGAUAGGUAGAGACUUUACAGGAGAUUUCAUGUUCGACUAUUAAUAACGUUAUUGAACAAUUAAUGAGGGCGGCUGGCGAGUCUUAGCGAGAAGACGGCGUCGGAGUCCACGGUGAACGGUGUUCGCACGGCAGGUUCAUGAGUGUUGUGCUCUCCACGCGCUUUCCCCCCCUCCGCUCGUGUGUGCCUAGUAGCUGCUGUAGCUGGAAGUUAGCUAAGGGCGCCGGCCGUGAGUAGCUGCCACGGGGCGCAGGCCGUCAGCAACUGCCACGGGGCGCCGGCCGUCAGCAGCUGCCACGGGGCGCCGGCCGCCAGCAGCUGCCACGGGGCGCCGGCCGUGAGCAGCUGCCACGGGGUGCCAACCUCACUACAAAAGUACAGGCACACAGAAAACUGUGCUGCACUGAUGUCGGUGUUGGGACCUCAGCUGUAAGAGACCUCGCUUGGAGAAGGGACAGGACAACCCAAGUAUGGACUUCGGAGAGCCACAGGAUGCUACCUAUGAUCCUGAUGACUCGAUCACAGUCUUGAUUGAGUCAGCAGAUGUGACAAUGGAAUCUUCCAACCCUGUUCAUAAGACACCCACAUAUAUUAUCUAUGAAAACUGCCUCCUGGAGCUGUUUGAGGUGUGUCCUGUGUGUCGGCGGGGGACAGAUGUAAUAUAUAAGAAGGGGCGAGUGCACAGCAAAGCCGGUGAAAGCAGAUGCAACCUUCCUUGAUUCUCACAGGCUUUAUUUAAAAUCCAAACAUACAACAAUAACGUGGAUAACCUGUUGGACCUCAUCUUUCACAAGGUUUUUCAGGACCCGGCCCCAUAUGUGAAUGAGGUGCUGAAGAUCCCAAAACGUGAGGAUCUCUCUGCCAAGUAUGAGAAACCUGACAAGCAGGAAGUUAUAGCCAGCUAUGUGUCGAGUUUCAAUCAAGGGCAGGUCUGAACCCUGCAUAACUUCCCUGAGCAUCAGGGAACACUCUGCGUAUCUGGAGCACCACGCAGGAGGGCAGGACCACCCUGAUUCUCUGGCCCAGAGGGCCUCAACACCAGCUCACAAAGCUUCUGUAUGCCAAAUACCUGUAACGGCUGAGCAAAGUUUACAUUGUAUUUAGAGAAUAAAAGGUGACACACAAAUAUAAAGUGUUCCUUUGUUUACAGUAUGGCUACUGAUGGCACAAAUUGUAUUUUUGUAAUCAAUGUUUUCAUUAUACUUGGUAUGUUUAAAAAGCUCUGUGGCAAUCUCUCUGACAAUAAAAGUUUAUAGAAGCA